UACGGAGGAUCCAAGCGUUAUCCGGAUUCAUUGGGUUUAAAGGGUGCGCAGGCGGAAUGAUAAGUCAGUGGUGAAAUCUCUCGGCUCAACUGAGAAACUGCCAUUGAUACUGUCGUUCUUGAGUACACUUGGAGUGGGCGGAAUGUGUCAUGUAGCGGUGAAAUGCUUAGAUAUGACACAGAACACCGAUCGCGAAGGCAGCUCACUAAGUUGUAACUGACGCUCAGGCACGAAAGCGUGGGGAUCAAACAGG
rnacentral:rRNA from 1 species